UUCUAUAUUUCUCCAUGCAGGAGGUGAAGUGUUCAGAGGCUGGACGAUUUUCUACUUAUCUUUGUAUCUUCAGAAUCCCACCCCAGGCUCAGCAUGCAGUAGUUGUUGGAAAAGUCUCUGUGGAUAUGCAAGCUCCUGGGAAGGUUUGACUGCUGUAAUUUCUGCAGCAUAUUCACUGUCCACCCAAGGGACACAUCCAUGGGCCUGCUCUCAGUGACUGUGACUUCUUCCACAUCUAGGAACCUCUCUUCAACUCCUUCCUGUGCCCAGAUUCACAUUAUUCACUUAAGUAAAUCAAAGCUGAUUUAAAUGGAUGUUUUCAAGAACUUGGAUGUUUUGUGGCCACUGGCAGCCACUGCAGACUUCAUUUGGAUGGCCCAUUCUUCACAAAGUCCAGCAAUGACCACUUACCAGAGAUUGAAAUCCAUCAAUUUUAAGUCUAUCAAGGAAAUCAUUUUGGGGCCAACAUUCAGGCAAUGACUACGAGAUGGAUUGCUCAAGACCUUGAAUACACUUCCAGAGAAAAUUCAGACUUUGAGCUGGAGUUUAUCCCUGAUCUGAAGAUUGGCUUCAAGAGUUGUUCAUCAAGAGGAGUGAA